rnacentral:rRNA from 1 species
UACGUAGGGGGCAAGCGUUGUCCGGAAUCAUUGGGCGUAAAGAGCGUGUAGGUGGCUCGGUAAGUCCGCUGUAAAAGUCCAGGGCUCAACCCUGGAAAGCCGGUGGAAACUGUCGAGCUAGAGUCCGGAAGAGGCGAGUGGAAUUCCUGGUGUAGCGGUGAAAUGCGCAGAUAUCAGGAAGAACACCCGUGGCUAAGGCGGCUCUCUAGUACGGUACUGACGCUGAGACGCGAAAGCGUGGGGAGCGAACAGG